ensembl:rRNA 5S_rRNA 5S ribosomal RNA
GUCUACAGCCAUACCACCCUGAACGCACUGAUCUCAUAUGAUCUCAGAAGCUAAGAGGGUCGGGCCUGGUUAGUACUUAGAUGGGAGACAUAUCUAGGAGAAAAUAUUUUAUAUU